rnacentral:tRNA from 1 species
GGGCAGGUAGCUCAGCUGGUAGAGCACUUGACUGAAAAUCAAGGGGUCGCCGGUUCAAGUCCGGCUCUGCCCACCA